UUAGUCGGCCAUACCACCCUGAACGCGCUUGAUCUCGUCUUAUCUCGGAAGCUAAGCAGGGUCGGGCCUGGUUAGUACUUGGAAGGGAGAAAGCUCACAUUGUGGAAGGGACAAACUAGCUGCCCUGUGGC
ensembl:rRNA 5S_rRNA 5S ribosomal RNA